rnacentral:rRNA from 1 species
UAGCAUAUCAAUAAGCGGAGGAAAAGAAACCAACGGGGAUUGCCCUAGUAACGGCGAGUGAAGCGGCAACAGCUCAAAUUUGAAAUCUGGCUCUUUCAGGGUCCGAGUUGUAAUUUGCAGAGGGCGCUUUGGCUUUGGCAGCGGUCCAAGUUCCUUGGAACAGGACGUCACAGAGGGUGAGAAUCCCGUACGUGGUCGCUAGCUAUUGCCGUGUAAAGCCCCUUCGACGAGUCGAGUUGUUUGGGAAUGCAGCUCUAAAUGGGAGGUAAAUUUCUUCUAAAGCUAAAUAUUGGCCAGAGACCGAUAGCGCACAAGUAGAGUGAUCGAAAGAUGAAAAGCACUUUGGAAAGAGAGUCAAACAGCACGUGAAAUUGUUGAAAGGGAAGCGCUUGCAGCCAGACUUGCUUGCAGUUGCUCAUCCGGGCUUUUGCCCGGUGCACUCUUCUGCAGGCAGGCCAGCAUCAGUUUGGGCGGUGGGAUAAAGGUCUCUGUCACGUACCUCUCUUCGGGGAGGCCUUAUAGGGGAGACGACAUACCACCAGCCUGGACUGAGGUCCGCGCAUCUGCUAGGAUGCUGGCGUAAUGGCUGUAAGCGGCCCGUCUUGAAACACGGACCAAGGAGUCUAACAUCUAUGCGAGUGUUUGGGUGUCAAGCCCGAGCGCGUAAUGAAAGUGAACGGAGGUGGGAACCCGCAAGGGCGCACCAUCGACCGAUCCUGAAGUUUACGGAAGGAUUUGAGUAAGAGCAUGGCUGUUGGGACCCGAAAGAUGGUGAACUAUGCUUGAAUAGGGUGAAGCCAGAGGAAACUCUGGUGGAGGCUCGCAGCGGUUCUGACGUGCAAAUCGAUCGUCAAAUUUGGGCAUAGGGGCGAAAGACUAAUCGAACUAUCUAGUAGCUGGUUCCUGCCGA